GGGGAUGAUAUGGUUUCGACAGGAGUAAUACGAUUUAAACUGCAAGUAGAUGGCAAUCUUUAAAUGCACAAUUAAAUAUAACUGGAAACAGAAAUUUAGCAUUUGCUUAAAAUAAAAAGCAAAACUCUUCUAUAUUCCUAGUCUGUGGGAAUAUUUAAGGGUAAUACCCAGCAGACUAUAUUACUAUUUUUCUUACGAAUAGUGAUGAAUAUAAGUAAGAUAGUUACUUAUUUAAUUGUUGGUUAUUCUGUAAGUAAUGAAAAAUAUUAAUCAACUAAACUUGUAGACGUUUAAAUUAGUUUGCUUUUGGACAGGAGUUCGAUUCUCCUCAUCUCCACCA
rnacentral:tmRNA from 1 species